GGGAGAGGCUCCCUUGAUUGGCCUUGAUUAUGGUCACCUGAGGGAUCCAAGAUGGCGGACAGAAGCAAGAUGGUGUCUGGAUAGACAGCAUGGUGCCCAGACUUGGUUACACUCAGAAACCAUAAGACUUUGUAAAACCUAUUUGCCCUUAUACAAGGACAGUACCAGAAUUAGAGAUUCCUACAGGGAACGUGACUACUCCUUUGUCGUGUAUGUCUGUCAAGUGUUUGUCAAUGCUAUAUGUCAAACAAUAACCAAACGGGACAGGCUACCGUUCACCCCAACGCUUGGGCUAUCCCUCAACAAGAGAGAGAAGGACCAGAGCUCGACAGGAACCCAGUGAAGCCGAAAUGCCCACUGAAAAGAGGCGGAUUCAGGAGGGAGAGAGACAACUCAAGGAGGCAGCAAAGGGGAGCACAUCACUGCAGGGUUGGCUACGAAAAAGCCAACCAGCAGACCUACUUCGUGCUGCUGGUAUAGAGUAGGACUCCUAGCGGAAACACUUUUGGCUGAGCCGAGCCGCAGUGAGGUUCUCCACCAGUUCUGCUGCGCUCUGGCCACUCUGGGGUUGGUGCUCUUUCACCCAGAUCUGACGUCCAGUUCGCGGAACCUCCUUUGGUACACCUCCUCGUUAAUUUCAUACUUGUGAAGGAUGACCUCCUUCACUCGGAUGUAAUCUGUGGCAUAAUCCAUGUUCAUCGUCACAUAGGCGCUGAAUGCUUUGCCGGUGAGGUAAGGCACUCAAAAGACUGCCCAAUCCUCUCUUGGCCAUCGAUGAGCCAUUGCAGGCCUCUCAAAUGUGACGAGAUACUGCUUGAUUUCGUCACCCUCCCCUAUUUUCGGGAUGGCCUCCCUUGGCCAUGUCAGGGGCGCUACUGGUGCAGGUGCUGUUGCAUGUGCAUGUGCAGAUGCUGGAUCAGAAGCUGGUGCUGGUGGUGGAGUAUGCCCACCUGGCUGAGGUACUGGUGGUACAGGUGAAGGCCUCUGUUCAUCCUCGACGUCCUCCCUGAGCUGGUUCAGCUGCACCUCCUCCAGCCCCGCUCCUGUUUGAACUCCCCUCCCGCUCCAUCACCAUCGUCGCCAAUAGCUCUUCCUCCUCAUUCUCCUGCAGACCUCUGGACAGCCUCUGUGCCAUUCUGCGCCAGAUUUGGACUCGUCCUCGUUGUCCACCUCUGCCCCGUAUUCCCCCUCGUUUCUCCAGUUUCUCAGAUGGCGUCACUCAUCCAACCACUGACAACAAAAGUGAGGGAUCGACGCAGUCACCCGGAGAAUUGGGAUGCAGACUCAUUGGACUAGACGGUGUGGACAAAACCUAGGGGUGGCAAUUCCGCUUUGGAAAACAAGCAAAGUUUUGUUUUCUUCGAAAAAUGCAAAAAGUGUUCAAAAUAUAAAUGAAUGUUUAAAAAAUAGUAGUCUUGGGAUGUGGGGCGCCGAUGUUUCGGAGCGUGUAUCGAGUAAUCAAGAAAGUGUAUUGAGGCAUGUAUCAUUUGGGGGCGGUGCCGUUAUUGAUGACAUAUGAAGACUUGCUGGUUCAGGAGAUGGUUUGAAAUGUGGGCACGAUUCACUAACACAUAAAAGCGUCAUUGCGUCCCCUGCCUCUUCAGCGCGAUUUUACGUUUUGGUGAGUUUCGGCGUGAGUUUUGGAGACAGUUUCAGUGAGUGUUUCAGUUUUGCUAUUGUUUUCAUGGAGCAUGCAAUAAAGCGAAAAAAUUCCCCGGUAUGGGAACCCUUUGAUCUAAUUUAUCCUAAUAAGUUAAGUGUUUACUCAUCUUGUAUGUUGAUUAUGGUAGCCUAUUUCACACUUGCCAAAUUCACACCAUCACCAUCCAAAUGCUCCAGAGGAUGGUAGACCAAAGGGAGCCUGUUGGGGCAGCUCUUGGUGGCUUGGUCAGUGACAUCCCUGUAUUGAAAUCCGAGGAAUACGAAGCAACUGUGGAGCUUUCAGAGGAUAAAAGAGUGUCGGGCUCAAAGGUAAUUCCACUGCUCAAAAAACAAGAGGCAGCAAUGAGGAGCACUAAAUCACUGGCUACAGAGUUGGGAGAGCACCUCAUCAAGCUUGUCAGGGAAAAGCUACAUACUUUACAGAGCUCUAGUAAUAAUUUACUUCCUACAUCUACAAUCAUCUCCAGCAGCUUCGAAAAUCAACUUCAUCACAUAAUGUAGUUGAAAGACCUGUUCAUAUUUUUUUAUUAAGUCAAUUUAGAUUAAUU
ensembl:lncRNA